rnacentral:rRNA from 1 species
GGGCGUGAGCGCGCGCAGCGGUUCCUUAAGUCUGAUGUGAAAGCCCCCGGCUCAACCGGGGAGGGUCAUUGGAAACUGGGGAACUUGAGUGCAGAAGAGGAGAGCGGAAUUCCACGUGUAGCGGUGAAAUGCGUAGAGAUGUGGAGGAACACCAGUGGCGAAGGCGGCUCUCUGGUCUGUAACUGACGCUGAGGCGCGAAAGCGUGGGGAGCAAACAGGAUUAGAUACCCUGGUAGUCCACGCCGUAAACGAUG